UUGAACUAAACGCACCCUAAGUGAUUGGUUAUUGCAACUCAUUUGAUUGGUAUUUUAUACUUUUUUUUAUCAAAAAACUGAAAUGGCUUUCUUGCUACUAUGACAGGAGUCUGCAAGGUAAUAUUAUAUGUGUUUCUCCAUGAAAUUUCAUGAGUACUUAUAUCAGUUUUCACGUUCCCAAUUGUUUUAGUUUAUUGUUGCAUGAUCAUUUUGCUCUAAUUUUCGAAUUAUAUGUACAUGAUUACGUAGUUGCUCAUAAAUCACUCAAGAAGUAUAUGUUCGGUUAAUGUAAUACAUAACUAUCUCAUUAUCUAAUAUCUAAAUGCCUAAAUGAUUGGUUUACCCUUGCUUUUUCAUUGACUUUUAGAGCUGUUGUGAGCAAAAGGUGUGUACAAAUCUUUUAUUGAAUGAACCAAUGGCCUUGCAGCCACUCUUCAAUUCAAGACCAGCAACCGUGGAGACGGUGGAGUCCCAGCUUCAUUAGCAAAUUUCUAUAAAAGUUUGGGCUGCCCCCUCCGUUUAAACUGAACAGAAACGAGGCAAAAGGCAAGAGGACACAAUCACAAGUUCUCUUGAUGGUGAGAUAUGCUUGAGAGUUUACAAAGCAGCAUGCAGACCCUUCAUUAUGUUUUCUUUGAGUAGUCGAGUUGAACUUGAAGUCUUUUAAUAAUGAGGGCUUUAAAAUGACAUGGCAAUACCAAUAUUGGAGAAAUUUCAGCUCCAUGAUUGUAUGGUUUUAAAUGUGUCCAGAAGUGAUCGUGCUAUUAGUCGAAUAGAGUUUGAAGUCUUCCAUGUUGGCACUUAUAGUAAUUUGAGGUUUAAGUGUGAUCAUGUGUUUCGAGAUAUGGGAGAUGGCAGGACCUAAAUAUAUGCAUUCAAGUUUUAGAAGAGCGUGAUGCAGAUUCCUUCGUCCUAUUUUGCUCAUGGUUCAUGUUUGUCAUGGCUUUAUGAUGAAUU